UACAGAGGAGCCAAGCGUUGUCCGGAUUGACUGGGCGUAAAGCGCACGCAGGCGGCUGCGCGCGUGGGGUGGGAAAUCUGGCCGCUUAACGGCCAGGCGCCAUCCCAUACGGCGCGGCUUGAGCCUUGCAGAGGGCGGUGGAAUUGCCGGUGUAGUGGUGAAAUGCGUAGAGAUCGGCAGGAACACCCAGGGGGAAACCAGCCGCCUGGGCAAGCGCUGACGCUGAGGUGCGAGAGCGUGGGGAGCGAACCGG
rnacentral:rRNA from 1 species